GAUGAACGCUGGCGGCGUGCCUAAUACAUGCAAGUCGAGCGAACAGACGAGGAGCUCGCCCGUCUGACGUUAGCGGCGGGCGGGUGAGUAACACGAGGAUAACCUACCGAGAAGACUGGGAUAACGUCGGGAAAGCGGAUAUAAUACCGGAUAAGAUAUUGAACCGCGUGGUUCAUUAGUGAAAGCGGGUUUUGCUGACCCUUAGACAGGGAUCCGGGCUGGAUUAGCUAGUUGGUAGGGUAACGGCUUACCAAGGCGACGAUGCGUAGCUGACCUGAGAGGGUGAUCAGCCACACUGGAACUGAGACACGGUCCAGACUCCUACGGGAGGCAGCAGUAGGGAAUCUUCGGCAAUGGGCGAAAGCCUGACGGAGCAACGCCGCGUGAGUGAUGAAGGUCUUCGGAUCGUAAAGCUCUGUUAGUUGGGAGGAAGGGAAGUAUAUUUAUCUAUUGCUGUCUUGACGGUACCUACAGAAAAAGCCACGGCUAACUACGUG
rnacentral:rRNA from 1 species